rnacentral:rRNA from 1 species
GAUGAACGCUGGCGGCGUGCCUAAUACAUGCAAGUCGAGCGAACAGACGAGGAGCUUGCUCCUCUGACGUUAGCGGCGGACGGGUGAGUAACACGUGGAUAACCUACCUAUAAGACUGGGAUAACUUCGGGAAACCGGAGCUAAUACCGGAUAAUCUAUUGAACCGCAUGGUUCAAUAGUGAAAGACGGUUUUGCUGUCACUUAUAGAUGGAUCCCCGCCGCAUUAGCUAGUUGGUAAGGUAACGGCUUACCAAGGCAACGAUGCGUAGCCGACCUGAGAGGGGGAUAGGCCACACUGGAACUGAGACACGGUCCAGACGCCUAAGGGAGGCAGCAGUAGGGAAUCUUCCGCAAUGGGCGAAAGCCUGACGGAGCAACGCCGCGUGAGUGAUGAAGGUCUUCGGAGCGUAAAACUCUGUUAUUAGGGAAGAACAAAUGUGUAAGUAACUAUGCACGUCUUGACGGUACCUAAUCAGAAAGCCACGGCUAACUACGUG